rnacentral:lncRNA from 1 species
GUGAUGUUCUGAACUGUCACUCCUCUCUCUUUCCAACCCUCAUCCCUCUCUCCUCUCCUCCACAGAGAAGCCGAUGGCCAGGGGUCCUCCUGGAGGAAUAUUGGGGGUGUUGGGAGGGGUCGUAGCCGCUGGUCUCCUCAUCGCCGUGGCUGUCACAGUCUUCAUGGUUUACCGGCGGCAGCAGAAGACACGCACCGAGACUGACAAUGACCUCAUCGCUGUGGCUGUGGUGGAUGGUACUGUUGUGACACAGCCUCCUCCUAGCGAUUCAGUUGCACCU